GUAAGGAAUAUUGGACAAUGGAGGCAACUCUGAUCCAGCCAUGCCGCGUGAAGGAUGAAGGCGCUACGCGUUGUAAACUUCUUUUCUCUUAGAAAAAACAUCUGGUUUCGUACCGGAUCUGAUUGUACAAGAGGAAUAAGCAUCGGCUAACUUCGUGCCAGCAGCCGCGGUAAUACGAAGGAUGCAAGCGUUAUCCGGAUUCACUGGGUUUAAAGGGUGUGUAGGUGGGAUAGUAAGUCAGUGGUGAAAUCCUCCGGCUCAACCGGAGAACUGCCAUAGAUACUGCUGUUCUUGAGUAUAGUUGAGGUGGGCGGAAUAUGACAUGUAGCGGUGAAAUGCUUAGAUAUGUCAUAGAACACCGAUCGCGAAGGCAGCUCGCCAAACUAUUACUGACACUGAAACACGAAAGUGCGGGGAUCAAACAGGAUUAGAAACCCCAGUAGUCC
rnacentral:rRNA from 1 species